rnacentral:misc_RNA from 1 species
CAAGUGCAAAUAUCAAGUACCAUUCUUUUCAAAAUUUGUUCUUCAAUGUUGAAGGUUUCAUUAGAAUUAUAAUCAUAUCCCUUUCAAUUUUUGAGGCUAAAAUUUAAUUCAAGCUCUAUCAUCUCUUGGCCAUAGAGCUGAGCUACCGCUUGUUAGCCCACUUCUUGUGUUAGUCUCCAAGACAAAACAGAGCUCACCCGAUAAAAACACUACCCUGCGCCGGCUUCCACCACCAUCACCGCCACAGCCGCCCCUGACGGUAUCCUUCAGACCUCAAGCAUUGGUUAAUUAUCUCCGCCGACCAUGAAGUGUUGAUUCUCUUCCCCGUUCUUUGGAAAUUCAAGAAAAGAACAGAAUUGUAAUUUUCAACUCUUCAGUCUUUUUAUUAUGGAAGUGGAAGUGAAACUUCGCCUCCCAGAUUCAAAUGCCCACCAAAAGCUCUCCGCCGUGCUCUCUCCUUUCCAAGUCAAAACCUUGGCCCAAGAAAACAUCUUUUUUGACAGCAAAAACUCCCAACUCACCUCAAAUCUCGCUGUUCUCCGCCUCCGCUUCUACAAUCUCGAUUCACACUGCGUCCUCUCCCUCAAAGCCAGACCCACCAUGUCCAACGGCGUGAGCCGCGUGGAGGAGCAGGAAGAGCCCCUGGACCCACAAAUUGGACGCAUGUGUGUCGCUGAACCAUGGCGGCUAAGCACGUUGGAGAGCUCAAAUAUAAUGGGAAGAGUUAGAGAGGAGUUUGGGGUUAAAGAGAAUCAAGGGUUUGUAUGUUUGGGUGGCUUUAGAAAUGUGAGGCAGGUGUUUGACUGGAAAGGGUUAAAGUUGGAGCUUGAUGAGACUAUUUAUGAUUUUGGAACUAGUUAUGAAAUUGAGUGUGAGAGUAAAGAGCCUGAGAGGGAUAAGAGAUUGAUUGAAGGGAUGUUGAAGGAGAAUGGGAUUGAGUUUUCCUACUCUAAGGUUAACAAAUUUGCAGUGUUUAGAUCAGGGAAGUUGCCCCAGUAAGACAGAAGUGAAUUCUGGUUUGUGAAUGAUAUUUUCUGAGUAUUGAGUAGUUAAUUCAUAUGUGAUAAACUCUUUUCUUGCUUUAUUAAUGGUGCAUUGCAAUUUAUCUUUGGUUGGUUAACUAAUUGUGUCUAAACAACUUCUGCAACUGAAUCUGAAUGAAUCUUUAAUUUCUGUAGCUCGUGUUGAAUAUUUGUAUUUGAAUUUUCCUGUGUCUGGUUGUUGGAG